GAGCAAAGGGGCCUGAUUAAGUGGCGAAUCUUUGCAUUGAAGGUUGGCGACAACAAAAAGCAGUUCUCCGUGCCUCUCAGAUUCAAUCUGUUUUGUGACGGCCUCGAACAAGUUGCUACAGC
rfam:Brachypodium distachyon strain Bd21 chromosome 4, whole genome shotgun sequence.